GAAAAUCAGACUGUGUUUCUCCAUCUGAUCAAUUUAACAUCAGAGGACAGUGGGAGCUACACCUGUCAGUGUUCAACUCCUGAAAGAACAAAAAUUCUCCAUCUUAAUGUCACUGUGGAAGGUAAACAAGAAUUAAGCAGCAGGUCUGGAACAAAAACACUUCCUCUUACACUGAUUUGUGUAACCGUGUUCAUCAUUGUGAGUUUAGUUAUCUUUGGAUUUAUUCACGCACGACUGCGCCACAGUGGCUGUUCAAGGUCAGAAACAUCUGGACUAUCAGUGAAUGAGACUCACGGCUCUUUGGAUGAAGAUGUCCAAGAUGAUUCUUACACAAACCUUCAGCAUCCAACAAAUGAUCUCUACCAAACUAUCACCUCAGAUCACCCUCAGCACGACAGCACUACAAAUUAAGAAUAUUAAGUGUCUGCUGUUGUGAUUAUUCAGCCAGAAGAACAGAAGCUGUCAGCCUCGAUAGUCAAACGCUUUUGUUUUUGACAAUAUUGAAACAUUUUGA